GACUUUGAAGAACAACUAGACUCCAGUGCCUUAAGCUACAGACUGAGAAGCAGAUGAGCCUGGUGGUUGAAGAUCAAGUGAAGAUAAAAGAGAGCUGUGCUUUCUGAGAUGAAACCGUAGCAGCCAUGGAAGAUCGGGCUCUGGGAUGGUAAAUGCACGGUAUCCAGCCUUGAGCUAUCCAGAGCUGAGUGUCUCUUUUGCCUGGCAUCCAACCCAUUGACUUGAUCUCCAGACAGUCCUGCUCAGCUGUGCAUCUACAGAAACACCAAUAAGGGUUCUAGAUGUGUGUGUGCGCGCGCGCAUGUAGGGGUCUUGUAGGGGUUGCAUGUGAAUGCAUGUGCACAUGUGUGCAGGUCCUAAGACAAUCUCAGGGGUUACUCCUCAGAUGCCAUCCACCUUGUUUUUUUUAUUUUAUUUUUGUUGUUGUUGCUGCUGUUUUUUUUAUUUUUACAUGUUUGUGUGCAGAUGGUGGGCAUUUGUGUGCUCCAACAUGGAUGUGAAGGUCAGGAGACUCUUGCAGGAAUCAGUUUUCUCCUUCUACUCUGUGAGCUCCAGGGAUUAAAGACAGGUCGACCCACCAGUGCCUCUACCCAGCGAGCCUUCUUAGUGGUUUUCUUGUUUGUUUUGCUUUCAAGACACUAUCUUUCAUUAGCCAAUAGCUCACUAGCAGGCUAGGCUGGCUGGUGAGCCCCAGGGAUCUGCCUGUCUCUAUCCCUACUGAGAUUACAAGUGCUCACCAUAAUGUCUGGGUAGUUUGUUUAUUUGUUUGUUUGGGGUUUUCUUACUGACUUAACUACAUCCCCAGUCCUAAACAUUCUUUAGUGUCCUUUUCUUUCUCUGAAGGUAUUGAUUCCUUCAUUAUUGCCAGGUGUAAAACAUACUAUUUCUUCCUCCUACGUUUCUUACAUAAUCCACAUUUCCUAGUUUUCCUUUGGGGCAGAAUUAAGCUGAGAGCCACAGGACUACCUAUGACCUUCCAGUAACUCGGGCAAAGGAUUUAUUGAGAUACUCUAAUCUAUCUGGGGAAAACCCUGAGAGGGUUCACAAAAGGAAGGAACAAUACAGAUGUCUGUUGUCACAGUUCUUUGGAAAUAUCCCAUAAGCCCCAGGCAAGAUUCUUGUCUCUCUGCUCAGGUGCCUCACUAGCUACUACAAAUCUCACAGCUCCAGUCUACAGUGUGCAGCUGAGACUAAAAACCACACUGCUUCCACGAUGGCCUAUUCCAGGUGCUGGCGCUGUUCAACGGCACCAACCACACGGCUCCUUAGAGAAUUCCUGUCUCUCUUCCCAUGCUCUACUUGAUCUACUUAAUCAAAUUGAGGCUAAACUACAAUCUUUGAGAAAAGACUACACUUCUACCUUUAAAUACUUCUCACAAAAACCACAGACACUGGCUUGAACAAGUAGAAUGACCCUACUCUCUAUUACUGUGGCUCCCCCAACACUCAGACUUUAACACAGUACCAACAGAUAUGAAAAAAAAAUUAUUCUGAAAUGAUGCUGAUAAAGCUCUAGUUAUCCUUUAAGAUAAUAAACAUAUCAUCAUUUUCAGUACAAAAAUGUAUUUUCUCUUAUUUAUCAUCAAUACAUUCUAAGGUAGAAUCGUGUUUUUAAUUUUUUUGCACAUUAUCUUAUUUAUCAAUACAGUCUGUCUAAGGAAGAAUCCUUUUUUAAAAUUGUUUUUGACACAUUAUUCUCAAGUAUAGAAUGUUCCUCAAAGUGUCUAAUUUUUCAUUGUGCCACUGGCAAUAAGAAACUUUUGUUGUUGUUGUUUGUUUGUUUGUUUGUUUGUUUCUAUUACUCUGUACAGUUACUAUGGUCUUAUCCUGAAGUCUUACAGGAGAGACUUUAAUGACAAAGGUGCAGGACAUACUUUCACUGAGAAACUAUGGCGCCACAGAUACUUCAGAUGUCUGUGUUCGUCCCACCUCCUAUCAAUCCUGUUUGAACCGGUGCUCUCUUUAUUUUAUAGGUAAGAAAAACUGAGCCAGGGUUAGAAGUGGAUCUCACAUGGAGCUUCAGAUCCUGUCCCUUCUUCUUGAAGACUGUUCAUCUUCCCUCUGUGAGGUACAGAAUAGGGAGUUUCCAGGCACUUACAUUGUUUCUGUGAAGCUGUCUCUCUGUUUAUGCUAAUAUCUACACACAAGUAUUCAUCAAGCUGUUCAAAAUUAACGCAUUUGGGGUUCUGUGCCUGAUAUGAAUACAAACUCCACUCUACUAAAAAUGUCCUCCAAUCCCAUGUUUGAUAAACACUUCAAAAGUGCAAUGUACCCUGAGAUUUAAAAUGUGUUUAGAUCCUAGUUUUCAACAUCUGCACCUGCCUAUUGGCCAUCAGCACUUUUUAAUACAGGAUGUGUCAAGUUGUUGCUACAGAAGCUUGCUCACUCACAUCCUUGGUUUCAGUUCAGAACUCUGAGCACACACAAGCUCUAUUUCCCCUUAGCUGGCAUGCUGGUAUAACGGAACGACAUGCCUUUAGAACAGUGCUCUGGCUAAUCAAGCUUAGGAAGGAAGGUUACCUUUGCAUAAUGAAGAUGCUGUGGAGAGGAAAUAAUUUGAGCAGAGGAAGGUGAAACACUGAACUUGCUCUAAUCUAUUUUUAAAUGGUUGUCAGAUGUCUGGAAUUGACACCCUUGAUGGGACAUUCUAAAGUUUAGAUGUAUUCAUUAAAAUUUGACCAAGACCC
rnacentral:lncRNA from 1 species